rnacentral:piRNA from 1 species
UGUCACUAACCUAAUAGUCCCUUUCGUU